rnacentral:rRNA from 1 species
AUUGCAGUUGAAACUGUUCCCCUUGUGUUCAGUCGCGGUAUGCGGAAUUCGUGGUGUAGCGGUGAAAUGCAUAGAUAUCACGAAGAACCCCGAUUGCGAAAGCAGCAUGCCAGAGUGCAACAGACGUUGAAGCUCGAAAGUGUGGGUAUCAAACAGGAUUAGAUACCCUGGUAGUCCACGCCGUAAACGAUGACUGCUAGGUGUCGGGUGGCAAAGCCAUUCGGUGCCGCAGCUAACGCAAUAAGCAGUCCACCUGGGGAGUACGUUCGCAAGAAUGAAACUCAAAGGAAUUGACGGGGACCUGCACAAGCGGUGGAGCAUGUGGUUUAAUUCGAAGCAACGCGAAGAACCUUACCUGCCCUUGACAUCCCGGUGACCGCAGAGUAAUGUCUGUUUUCCUUCGGGACACCGGUGACAGGUGGUGCAUGGUUGUCGUCAGCUCGUGUCGUGAGAUGUUGGGUUAAGUCCCGCAACGAGCGCAACCCCUAUCUUCAGUAGCCAGCGGUAUGGCCGGGCACUCUGGAGAGACUGCCAGGGAUAACCUGGAGGAAGGUGGGGAUGACGUCAAAUCAUCAUGCCCCUUAUGGGCAGGGCUACACACGUGCUACAAUGGCGUAAACAAAGGGAGGCAGAGCCGCGAGGCCGAGCAAAUCCCAAAAAUAACGUCUCAGUUCGGAUUGUAGUCUGCAACUCGACUACAUGAAGCUGGAAUCGCUAGUAAUCGCGAAUCAGAAUGUCGCGGUGAAUACGUUCCCGGGUCUUGUACACACCGCCCGUCACACCAUGGGAGUCAGUAACGCCCGAAGUCAGUGACCCAACCGUAAGGAGGGAGCUGCCGAAGGCGGGACCGAUAACUGGGGUGAAGUCGUAACAAGGUAACCA